rnacentral:tRNA from 1 species
GUCAUCGUAGCUUAACUCACAAAAGCAUAACACUGAAAAUGUUAACAUGGACAAAAGUCCCGAUGACAACA